UACGUAGGGUGCAAGCGUUGUCCGGAAUUAUUGGGCGUAAAGAGCUCGUAGGCGGUCUGUCGCGUCGGAUGUGAAAAUCCAGGGCUUAACCCUGGGCCUGCAUUCGAUACGGGCAGACUAGAGUUCGGUAGGGGAGACUGGAAUUCCUGGUGUAGCGGUGAAAUGCGCAGAUAUCAGGAGGAACACCGGUGGCGAAGGCGAGUCUCUAGGCCGACACUGACGCUGAGGAGCGAAAGCGUGGGGAGCGAACAGG
rnacentral:rRNA from 1 species